AUCAGGAGCAAACCCUGCCCAGACUCAAGGCAGCAGUUCCGUCUACCUUCUCUCUGACCUCACUCUGCAAAGACAAGAUCCCAGGAGCAAGUGGACCAGCCCGGACCCUCGUGUGGACAAGGGCCGGUUCCCUCCUUCCCACUGGCUGCUGCACCUGAACAGACCCUCAAAGUCAAGGUGAGAAGUGGUGCUGGACAGCUGGACGAGGGGAGUCAGCACAAAGAUUUUUUUCCAGGAGCUACAGAGUUGCUCGGCAGUGUCCAAUCCGAUGCCUGCCAGCUCAGGACUCAAAGGGAGGAGCCACAUCUCCUCUGAACAGGUGGACACACAGAAAGAUGACACGGGCUCCGGGCCCGUCCCCAGCCCCUCUGCAGGGGGCCGGCACUGUGGUGUAGCAGGUAAAGCUGCCGCCCAGUGCCGGCAUCCCACAUGGACUCCAGUUCACAUCCCGGCUGCUCCACUUCGAUCCAGCUCUCUGCUAUGGCCUGGAAAAGCAGUAGAAGAUGGCCCAAGUCUUUGGACCCCUGCCCCUGCAUGGGAGACCCGGAAGAAGCUCCUGGCUCCUGGCUCCUGACUUCGGAUCGGCGCAGCUCCAGCCGUUGCAGCCAACUGGGGAGUGAACCAGUGGAUGGAAGACCUCUCUCUCUCUCUCCCUCUCCUCUCUCUCUGUGUAACUCUGACUUUCAAAUAAAUAAAUAAAUCUUUUUAAAAAUGGUUAUGUGGGGGCCGGUGUUGUGGUGCAGCAUGUUAAGCUGCCGCCUGAGACACUUGCAUCCCAUAUGGUCGCUGGUUCAAGUCCCGGCUGCUCCACUUCUGACCCAGCUCUCUGCUAUGGCCUGGGAAAGCAGUAGAAGAUGGCCCAAGUCCUUGGGUCCCUGCACCCACAUGGGAGACCUGGAAGAAGCUCCUGGCUCUGGAUUGGCUCAGCUCCGGCCGUUGCGGCCAUUUGGGGGAAUGAACCAGCAGAUGGAAGACCACUCUCUCUCUGCCUCUGC